CCCAGACAGAGGGAGAAGCUUGUGCAAAGUAAUGAAGAUAGCAGAGAAGAAAAAUGUGGUGAAAAUGGGAAGAAAAGGAAAUACCAGUGCUUCAGCCAUUCUGACAUGGGCUCAGCUUCCUCUCCUCCAGCAUCCUCCUUUGUCUGAAUUCACAUGCCCUGUGAGCUACCAGGAAGAAACCAAGGGAGACUCAUGUGGAAAUGAAGAUGGUGGAACCACAGUUGGAAAGAGCUUGAGUCCCUGAAUCCCAGCCUAGAGGAGAUCCACCUGCUUGCUGAUCGGGAACACCUGAUGGGAAAUAAACUUCUA